GGUUGCCACCCAGGGGUGCUCAAGACCCUGUUGUAUCCAGAGGGAGCUCGGGAGUGGAGUGUGGAGCUUAGUAGCUGGGUGAUGGGUCUUGGGGGCUGAAUAGUGGAGCUGCAGGAUAGAUGAUGGAGCCAGAGGACAGGGAGUGGGACGGAAGGAUGGAUGGAGUUGACUACUGGUCACUGGCGAACAGGCUACGGAGCUGGGCUAGUGGGAACUAGGAGAUGGAUGAUAGAGAUGGGGGUUCACAAGUGGGGCUGGGUAGAGGACAGGAAGAAGGAUGAUGGAGUUAGAGGUCAGGUGAUCAUGCUGGGGUCUGGGUAUUGGAGAGAGCAGGUGGGGGGGAGUCCCAAUCUCACCAAGAUGGGCACCCCUGUGAGUGAGUCAUAGAGAAAGACGAUGGCGCUGACCAAGUUGGUGACCUGCAGGGAUGUCUUGGCCGACUCGGACCCAUCCAGCGAGGACCUCCGCUUCCCUCGGGCAUCCUCCACCACAAUGGCCGGCACCUCAAAGGCUGGCCGGGUGCCCAACCCCCCUGGCCCACCCCCCUUGGCCCCGCCCCCAGCCCCCGCUCUCCGGGCCUGUUGAGCCCUCCGGGGCCGGGCCCACAGCGUCUGGUAGAAGGUGAUGGCCACACAGACCAGCCCCAUGACGAUGCCCCCAAGUAGCAAGAGGCUGAAGCAGACGCCAAAGCCGAGGCCAAUCUUGGAGACGAUGAACUGGCAGCCGCGGGCGUAGUAGCGCUCGCCGUUGUUGUGCCAGCCGAUGGAGGGCAGCGUGGAGAGGAUGAAGCUGACCAUCCAGAUGCCCACGACGGCGUGCAGCGCCUGCUUCUUGGCGUUGCUGAGGCGGUAGUUGACGGGCCAGCGCACCAUCCACAUGCGGUGGUAGGAGAGCGAGGCGACGGUGAAGCAGGUGGCCAGGGCCAGCGUGUAGUAGGUGGACACAAAGACCUUGCAGAUGCUUUCGUUCCAGUCAUAGUCGGAGGAGGCCUGGCGCCGGAGCUGCACCACAGCGAAGGUGGUGAGGGGCACGGCCGCCAUGAGGAUGUGCGUGCCUGCCAGGAAGCAGAGCAGCAGCUCCAGCGGCUUGUGCUUCUGCUGCUUGGCCGAGAUGCUGAGGAUGAUCCAGGCGUUGGCCAGCAGUGCCAGGAGCCCGCAGGCCAGCCAGGACAACGCGUUUGAGCGGAGGGAGGCCUCCUCUGCCCCCGCCCCACCCCGAGCCAUCCUUCGUCGGUCCCCCCACCCCCUUGAACUCUUGGGGGUGGGGGCUAGGUCUCACCCAGGAGCCCCACUCACACGCACCCCCAUGAUGCCCACAGUCCUUGCCCUGGAGUGAGGCAGGCCGCCCCUAGGCCUACCCUAGUGCUCAGCAUUGCACGGCUGACCCAGCUAAGGUCAGGUGUGGAGGGCAGGGGAGGAGACGGAGGGUCAGCAGAGGUGGUCCUCCGCCUCCAUGCUGGGUGGGACCCUUCCAGAAGUAUCCCUGUAGUUGCUGGGGGAGGCAAGCUGACCGCUUUCCCAACUAGGAGGCUGGCUGGGAAGCCCUGGUCCCCAUGUCAGGACUUCCAGCUGUCUUCUGCCUCUGGUGCUAGGCCAGUCAGGGGUCCUCCGGAUGCCUCAAGGGGCAUGGGGGCGGGGCUCAGCCGCCUGGACACCCUGCAAGGGAGAGAUGAGGUGUGGAAGGGGCGGAGCAAAGGUGGGGUCUAGGCUGGUCUCCAGCUGGUACCCAAGGCUCCCUUCUCUUGAAAUGAUAGAAAUGACUGGUUACUAGGGGUCAUGGGGUCACCCAGAACAUUCUCCUGCCUUAAAGCAGACGGUCACUCUAACACCCCACACGGAUGAGAGCCCUGCUUUCCAGACCUCCAGGAGAGAAGGUAUUCUGACCUCCUGUCUCCCAUCCUUCGUCAGCCAUUUUUCCUGCUUCUGGCCCUCCCGGGUCCCUCUUUCUGUCCCCUGCUCAGCACUCCUCAACCGCUGUCUUCACAUCCUGAAUCUCUCCUCAGCGCUACCAUGGCAGAGUGGCCUUUCUCAGCCCGGGGCACCCAUUCCUUCUCUGUUCUCGGAGUCACCCUUCCGAGUCAACACCCUUCCGCUCCGGGAACCGAGCUGUGCGCCGUGGGACCGCGGAGAGAAGUGUGGCGUAAUCCCCGGCCUCUGCAAGCUCCCAUUUCCAAGGGGAGAUCAAUGCUCAUGAAAUGCAAGAGAAGGUGGUCAGAGCUGUGGGCAGAGACCUGGAAAUCCAACACGUCUUCUGUGACAUUCCUCUCCCCUUCCCCGACCCUCGGGAAGGAACAAAGCCCUGUCUGUUCCUCUUACCUCUGGGCCUGGAUCUCUCUUCCCCUCUGCUUCUUGCACAGUGCCUGGCGGUGGAGAGCACGAUGACCAUAGCAAGGUUUGACACCAUGACCUUGAUUUGUGCUAAGGCAGCAGUCUAACCCAGAAUUUGCAACAUCACUGUAAUGUCAACAUAGUGACAAAGGUAAAUAAUGUCCUAUUAUUUUUAUGAAAGUGGUUUGACCUGGCAACCCCCGCUCCCCAAAAGGGUCUCAGGGACCCCCAUGGGCCACACGUUGAGAAUCACCAAACUGGAAAACUUGUAUCCACUCUUUAGAUCUUAGCUCUCUCUCUGCACAGACCUUUAGUUGUCCCCCAAAUCUGUUUUCUCCUUCUUCCUUAGUAAUAGAACCCUCGAUUUUUAGCUGAGCUCAUUGUUGCCCAGAUUUCAGUGAUAUUUCCCAGCCUCCCUUGCAGCUGGGUAUGGCUAAAUGACUCGGGUUUGGUUAAUGGAAGUAAGAGCAAGUGUUAGGUGCAACCUCUAAGGCUUGUCCUUCAAGGGAGAGGGUGUGUCCUCCUUCAGGCAGGAAUGCAAACAUCCUUCCUGUGUACCGCCUGCCUGCUUUUCUCAUUUACAUGACUGAGCAGGCUCCUGUAGGCAUUUAAGAUUAUAACCCCUGACCUGGCCCAGUUCUCUCCAUUCAUUGGUAUAUUCAACAAGUGUGCGGUGUUUAACAGCCCAAGGCACGCUGCUGGGGCCCGGGGGUGUGAUGUUCAGUAAGCUAGACAUGGUGACACGGACACUAAACAUUUAAUAAUUCCAUCACAACUGGAUAAGUGCCACAAAGGGAGAAGCACAGAAUGUUGGGACAGCUUAUCAUAGGGAACCUUAUUGCAACUGGGAGGUUGAGAAAGGCUUCCACGGGAAGCAUAGAUCAGUAACCACUGGGCUCUGCUCUCAGUGAAAGAAAAUUCCACAUAACAGAGGCUGGAAUGAGACUGAAGUUGAUUUCUCCCCUGAAGGAAGCGUGGAGGCGGGUGGUCCAGAGGUGAGGGUUAUGGGGUGAGGAACAGCACACCCUCAUCCUCCGCGUGACCCCUCCUCCUAGUCUGAGAAGGCUGCUCGGGCGCCCCAGUUGAAUGAAGGUUCCCUUGUGGUAAGACCUCCCAGUACCCUGUGCGGCUUCUCCCUUGGAAGCACUUAUCCAAGUGAAACAAUUAUGAAAUUGUCGUUUAGUGUCUGUCUCACGGGCUACAGUGGUGACCACAUCUGUCUUACUUAGCACCCAGCAGAGAGCCUGGGGCCUGGUAGACUCUUAAUACUUGUCGAAUACUUUUUAAAAUAUUAAGUUGUAUUGAUAUUGAUUGAUUUUAAAUAUAUGGUGGUAAUAGAUACAUCCCAUAAAAUUUACCAUUUUAACCAUUUUUAAGUGUUCAGUUCUAUGCCAUUAAGUACGUUCAUGUUAUUAUACAACCUUCACCACCAUCCAUCUCCAGAACUUUUUCAUCUUCCCCCACUGAAACUCUGUCCCUCUUAAAUGCAAACUCUCUGUUUCCCCCUCCCCCCAGCCCCUGGCUGUUGAAUACUUUCUGAAUGAAUGAAUGCAGAGGGGCUAGAGAAAGGCUCACAGACUUAAAUGCCUAUAGGACCCUGCUAAGCACUAUAACUGAGAAAAGCUGGUAGUAAACAUUAGGGAGGGGUGAAGACUGAGGUAAAAAGAGGCCCUGCCUCAGCUACUGAGGGCAGCUACUAACCACACAGCUCCAGCUGAGCUGACAGUAGAGGUUGUACCAGAACGUGAACCCAGAGUCGCCAGCUCUGCCAACAUUUCAACAGAAGGUGGAAAACCAGACAUUUAUGUAAUAUCUCCUAAUUUUAAUGUUGGCAACUAAUUUUGUGUUUUGUUCUAACACUGAAUAAAUCACACAAAGCAUUCCAAGGGCUGGAUCUAGCUCAGGGCCCACCAGUUUGCAACUGAUGUACCAGAUGGACGGUGUGAUGCCACCCAGCUCUUGGGUCUGUGGCCUGUGAAGAUGGGUUCCCAAGAACCAAUGCCUCCCUCUGGGGUUUUCAAGCAGGAAAAGAAAAGGGGAAGAGACAGCAAGUUUAUAUUGAACAUGUAGAACUGCUGUGUGCUUUAUAUGGUUGUGUAUUUUAUUUAAUCCUUACAGCAAUGAUCGGGCAUAAGUAUUAUUUUCCAGACCAUACAGAUGAGGAAACUGAGGCCCGAAAAGUUUAAGAGAAUCACUAACAGUCGCAAAGCUGGUAACUACCCCUGAUGGCACUAGGAUUUGAACUUACCUGCUUGGCCCCUAGUCCCUGGAUGGUCCCCCUCACCCUACUGCCUCUCCUCUGCAGUAAGAAAGGCUAGGAGGACUUCCCUGGUGGCACAGUGGUUAAGAAUCCUCCUGCCAAUGCAGGGGACACGGGUUGGAGCCCUGGUCCGUGAAGAUCCCACAUGCCGUGGAGCAACUAAGCCCGUGCGCCACAAUUACUGAGCCUGUGCUCUAGAGCCCAAGAGACACAACUACUGAGCCCAUGUGCCACAACUACUGAAGCCGUGUGCCUAGAGCCCGUGCUCCACAACAAGAGAAGCCACCGCAGUGAGAAGCCCGCGCACUGCCACAAAGAGUAGCCCCAGCUCGCAGCAAUUAGAGACAGCCGGUGCGCAGCAACGAAGACCCAACGCAGCCAAAAAUAAAUAAACAAAAUAAAUUAAAAAAGAAAGGCCAGGAUGAAGGGGGAAGGGCAAGAUAGGGGUAGGUGGUUAAGAGAUACAAACUACUACGUAUAAAAUAAAUAAGCACAGGGAAAUAUAGCCAUCAUUUUGUAAUACCUUUAAAUGGAGUAUAAUCUAUAAAAAUAUUGAAUCACUGUGCUGUGCACCUGAGACUAAUAUAAUAUUGUAAAUCAACUAUACUUCAAUUAAAAAAAAAAAGAAAGGUCAGGAUGAGGCGGCGGGAAGUCUUCUCCCACAGCAACGGAGGGGGUAGGAGGCCAGUGACCUCAUCUGGGGCUUCUGAGGCUUGGCGUCACCAGGAUCCCUCACAUCUAGAGAGAGAUUUUCCAUUUUCAAAGCACUGUCACCUACAUUAGCAUAUGCCAGACCUUUUCAGCACGUAUUACUAUCCUCAUUUUACAGAAGAAGAAACCGAAGUUAAGCUCUCUGCUCCAUUAUAUGACGGUCAUGGGCAGCCCUGUGAAGAGGCCCACGUGGGGAGAGACCAACGCCCCUGGCGGGCAGCCACCUGAGGGAACUUUUCACCACCAGAUCCUCCAGCCCAGCCCAGCCUUCAGAUGCCUACAGCCCUGGCCCAAAUCGUGGCAGAAACCCCCGUAAGAGGUCCGCACCAGAACUACUCAGCCAGGCUGCUUCCAGAUUCCUGAACUUGUGAGAUAAUAUCUUUACUCUCUUACA